AGUCGAGGGGUAUAUGUCUUCGGAUAUAGAGACCGGCGCACGGGUGCGUAACGCGUAUGCAAUCUGCCUUUCACAGAGGGAUAGCCCAGAGAAAUUUGGAUUAAUACCUCAUAGUAUAAUCAAGCCGCAUGGUUUAAUUAUUAAAGUCACAACGGUGAAAGAUGAGCAUGCGUCCCAUUAGCUAGUUGGUAAGGUAACGGCUUACCAAGGCAACGAUGGGUAGGGGUCCUGAGAGGGAGAUCCCCCACACUGGUACUGAGACACGGACCAGACUCAUACGGGAGGCAGCAGUGAGGAAUAUUGGACAAUGGGCGCAAGCCUGAUCCAGCCAUGCCGCGUGCAGGAUGACGGUCCUAUGGAUUGUAAACUGCUUUUGUACGAGAAGAAACAUCCCGACGUGUCGGGACUUGACGGUAUCGUAAGAAUAAGGAUCGGCUAACUCCGUGCCAGCAGCCGCGGUAAUACGGAGGAUCCAAGCGUUAUCCGGAAUCAUUGGGUUUAAAGGGUCCGUAGGCGGUUUAGUAAGUCAGUGGUGAAAGCCCAUCGCUCAACGGUGGAACGGCCAUUGAUACUGCUGAACUUGAAUUAUUAGGAAGUAACUAGAAUAUGUAGUGUAGCGGUGAAAUGCUUAGAUAUUACAUGGAAUACCAAUUGCGAAGGCAGGUUACUACUAAUGGAUUGACGCUGAUGGACGAAAGCGUGGGGAGCGAACAGGAUUAGAUACCCUGGUAGUCCACGCCGUAAACGAUGGAUACUAGCUGUUGGGGGCAACUUCAGUGGCUAAGCGAAAGUG
rnacentral:rRNA from 1 species